ensembl:snoRNA
AUCCUUUUAUAGUUCAUAAACAUUAUGAUUAGAUUUUCAUGCUCAUGUGUAAGAUGUACCUCUCUCAAACUUCGUUAUGAUGUCAGCACAUUGUCUGUCUGACA